CGUACCCUUCUUCUCUUUCUUGUUCUUCUUCGAAUCAUUGAGGAUCUCUCUGUUCACCUUCAAGCUCCAGCAAACAUGGUCGACGGCAAGCUCCUCCCUCUUCUUCUCCUCCAAGCCCUCUCAGCCGCGCUUCCGCCGCCGUUGGUUGCCGUUAACGUUCGCGUCUUCGUUCAGCCAUCGUCUUUGUUCGCGUUCUUCGCCGUUCAAGUUCACUCGGCGUUCACUGUUCGCGUUCACUCGCCGUUCACCGUUCGCGUUCACUCGCCGUUCACCAUUCGCGUUCACUCGCCGUUCACCGUUCGGGUUCACGUUCGUCUGGAAGCCACGUUGCCCUGCUUCAAACUCUGCGACCAACCCGUGCACUCCACCUAGCCGUCGAACUGAUCUCUUUUGUCGCCGCCGCUCCAAGACUUACCAGAUGACCCUAAUAAUGAAUUGAUGAUUCCCGAAGACCCUGAAUGUAAUAAGGAAGCUCCUUGUCAGAAACUGGAAGAUCAAAGGGAUUUUUUGAACCAUUGCCUGUGAAGCAAGCGGAAGAAGCACAUUAGUACACCUGUUCCACAUGAUUCAUACUCCGUUCUUUCUGUGAGCAAUUCUGGGAAGUAAGUUCUUUCUUACUUUUAAUUUAUUUCCAUAAUUCAAUCGAAUUAACUAAUGUUUUUAAUUCUUAAAUGUAACAUAUGGUUUCGUUUUUCUUUAUAGAAUAUACAACACAUAAAACUGUUACUAUUGUGAUUCAAAAUUUAUUUAUAAUGUUUUGUGGUUUAUUUUAUAUGCUUUUUAUCUUAAUAUGGUUAAGCAAAAGCAUUUUGUUUGUUAAAUAGCAGUACUGUGGUUGUUUUCUGAAUGAACAAAUAUGUGCAGGUAUGUUGACCAGUUUGAUGAAACAAACCCAAAAGAAUCAAGGCUGAUGUCAACAUUCUUCAACACACUCUUGCAGUCUUGCUUGCAGUGUGCCUUGGUGGUGCUGUCAGCUUAACCUUCAUUGUGUGGAUACAAAUUCAUAAAGGAUGGGAUUGGGGAUUUGGGAUUGGCACCAUUGCUAUGUUACUUGGCAUCAUUAUCUUUGCUGCUGCAUUGCCACUAUACAGAAUUCAUCCUGCUAAAGGAACAAGUGCUUUACUUGAGAUCGUGCAGGUCUAUGUUGCUGCAAUCCGGAAUAGAAGGCUUACCCUUCCUGAAGAUCCUUCAGAACUAUAUGCGAUUGAGCAGGACAGGGAAGCUACUUUGGAAACAGAGUUUCUACCUCAUAGAGAUAUUUACAGGUUCAAUUUUCC